UCCUGCUGCUGAACUGGCUGUCACCUCCCUUGGGUCCAGGGACUCAGGCUGUGAGGUUUCCAGCAGCACCGGGAAUGAGCUGCCUAUGGUCCUCUCAUGAGCCCACUUUUAAUCUCAUUGACCUCUCGUUAUACUACAGCACAUAAAUUCAGAUUUGGAGAGCUUAUGUUCCAUCAUAAAUUGGGCUGGCAGACUUCCGAUCAACAAGAUAAAGCUGUCUCCUGUGAGCCCCGGAGUGAGCAGGCACUUCUGAGCCCCCAGGCUGGACACUCAAGGGCCAAUUUUUAGCCCAGCCUGCCGAUGGUGCAUCUCAGUGAGACCACGCACACCAGCACCCACAAGGAGGCUCUGCCUGGCCCUUCCGAGCCACUGGCACCCUGUUCCUCACCCGCUCUGCGUUCAGUUCAGCAGGAGUGCCUCCGAGCACAGUGGCCUUGGCAGCGCAGCAGGAGACCUGUGGGUCCGGGGCAUGUGCUUGUGUUCUAGGGACCCAGGGAGGUCUGAGAGGAGAGCGAAGCAACCCUGGAGACUUCUUCGAGAAGGGGAUGCUUCAAGAGAAGUCCUGAAGAUAAGAAGGUAGAAGCGGGGCUGAUGUCACCAGCCAAAUGGUUGGCAUAGCAACUGGACCCCUGGUACUUUUAGGGAUCACAAAAGCAUUUUAAUUUCAAUUUCUGUUAAAAUCAGAAGGAAAAGAGAAAAACAA